GGGGAUGUGGCUCAGUGGUAGAGCAAUAAGUCUAGCAUGCAUUAGACCCUGGGUUUGAUCCCCAGCAUUGCAA
rnacentral:tRNA from 1 species